CCUUGAUCUCAGAAGAGUGAAAAGGUGGAAGGUAAGAAGAGUAGGAGUCUGGCUGGGACAUUACAGAGUGGAACCUAGGAGAAUCUGUGUCUGAUACUGCUAUAGCUGCAGAGCUUAGGACAAAGAGGCCAAUAUUUCAGGCUGUGUGGAGCAAAUAUUAGUAGAGGUCUUAGGGAAAGAGAUAGACAUGAGUCAUACAGAAUGAGAAGGCAUGGAGGGACUGCC